GAUGAACGCUGGCGGCGUGCCUAAUACAUGCAAGUCGAGCGAACAGACGAGGAGCUUGCUCCUCUGACGUUAGCGGCGGACGGGUGAGUAACACGUGGAUAACCUACCUAUAAGACUGGGAUAACUUCGGGAAACCGGAGCUAAUACCGGAUAAUAUAUUGAACCGCAUGGUUCAAUAGUGAAAGACGGUUUUGCUGUCACUUAUAGAUGGAUCCGCGCCGCAUUAGCUAGUUGGUAAGGUAACGGCUUACCAAGGCGACGACGCGUAGCCGACCUGAGAGGGUGAUCGGCCACACUGGAACUGAGACACGGUCCAGACUCCUACGGGAGGCAGCAGUAGGGAAUCUUCCGCAAUGGGCGAAAGCCUGACGGAGCAACGCCGCGUGAGUGAUGAAGGUCUUCGGAUCGUAAAACUCUGUUAUUAGGGAAGAACAAAUGUGUAAGUAACUAUGCACGUCUUGACGGUACCUAAUCAGAAAGCCACGGCUAACUACGUG
rnacentral:rRNA from 1 species